UGGGGAAUAUUGCACAAUGGGCGCAAGCCUGAUGCAGCCAUGCCGCGUGUAUGAAGAAGGCCUUCGGGUUGUAAAGUACUUUCAGCGAGGAGGAAGGCGUUGUGGUUAAUAACCGCAACGAUUGACGUUACUCGCAGAAGAAGCACCGGCUAACUCCGUGCCAGCAGCCGCGGUAAUACGGAGGGUGCAAGCGUUAAUCGGACUUACUGGGCGUAAAGCGCACGCAGGCGGUCUGUCAAGUCGGAUGUGAAAUCCCCGGGCUCAACCUGGGAACUGCAUCCGAAACUGGCAGGCUAGAGUCUUGUAGAGGGGGGUAGAAUUCCAGGUGUAGCGGUGAAAUGCGUAGAGAUCUGGAGGAAUACCGGUGGCGAAGGCGGCCCCCUGGACAAAGACUGACGCUCAGGUGCGAAAGCGUGGGGAGCAAACA
rnacentral:rRNA from 1 species